GAUGAAGAACGUAGCGAAAUGCGAUAAGUAAUGCGAAUUGCAGAAUUCAGUGAAUCAUCGAAUCUUUUAACGCACAUUGCGCCCGCUAGUAUUCUGGCGGGCAUGCCUGUCUGAGCGUCAUUUCAACCCUCGCCCCCGGCUUUUGCUGGGAGCGGUGUUGGGGAUCGGCCGCCCGUCACUGGGAGGCCGGCCCCGAAAUAGAGUGGCGACCACGCCGUGUGCUCCUCUGCGUAGUAGUAAAUCACCUCGCAGGCGGACAGCGGUGCGGCCUGCCGUAAAACCCCCAACUCUUUCUGGUUGACCUCAGAUCAGGUAGGAAUACCCGCUGAACUUAAGCAUAUCAAUAAGCGGAGGA
rnacentral:misc_RNA from 1 species